CCGGCACACACCGGUCUUAUUUCCCAUUUCCUGCUCUCAUCAAGGACCCAAAGGGAGGCACUGGAUCUGUUUGUAGAGAUGAAAGAAACCUUUCGGGGCAUUUCGGGGGAUAUUUACAUUUCAUAUCAAUGCAAAUUCAACAGUCACUUAGAAUACGUCAUAUAACUGGUGCCGGUACGUUUACCUGGUAUAUGACAGCUGUCGGGCUGGGAGGAAGCCUAACGCAUCCCCUUUUAUUAUGGCUGGGCUGUGGCAAUCACAACUUCUGAUUGCUUGCAGCAGGAAGAGUUCAGGUCUGUCUUUUAAUUCAUUCCCACCAUGCGGUUAAAUUCUUUGCAUUACUACAGUGUCAAGACAGACAAGGUCUCCUAAUAGUUUAAUAUUUGCUUGAACAUAGUUUACUGCAUGACACAUUUUUAUUAUUAUUAUUACUACUGGCCAGUGCGCAUCAUCUAAGUAUGACGUAAGUCUUCUCAAGCCACUCCAUUCAUGUUGCUUAUUUAAUUAGACGCCCAUGUGGAAUGGGUUAAGAUGAGUGCGCUACUAGAGCUCACGAAAUGCGGGCAAAUGAGAAUAAGCUAAAGGAGGCUGGCCAGCGUGCGAGCAUUCUGGGAUACAACCCCUGUACAGACCUCACGAGCCUGAAUGGCAUAAGUAUGGACUCUGAUUUGAAUAUUUUUAUGAUUUCUCAAAUGUAGUGUGUGGCAUGUGGGUUACAUACUAACCGGGCCAAGCCCCUUUGUUUGUAUAAAGAUUAAUAUAUGUGAUAUAUUUACAUGACAUGAUAUAAUUGAUGAAGGACUUCUCAUUGUGUAUUAGUGUAUUAGACCUCUUUUGGGAGCAUUAAGCUGGUGUUUGCUUGUCUUGUUCUUCUUUACAAACGUGGCUUUUUCCAGAUAAGAACGGUAUUACCUACUCACUGAUGCAAGACCCCGGUGCUCCAGCCUCUCGCUUGGUUGAAAGAAACACAACAAAAACGGAGCACGUUUAAUUGAGUCUUGUACUCUGGGGAUGUUUAGAUAACGCGUCCCAUUAGAGAGAAAGCGAGAGAGAGAGAGAGAGAGAGAGAGAGAGAGAGAGAGAGAGAGAGAGAGAGAGAGAGAGAGAGAGCUUGACUGUAGCCUUAUUGACUAAAUCCUGGGUCCUCUAUCAAGGAUUCUGCAGCUAUGAACUGAUAUUAUGGUAUUGGCAUGAAGAGCUGAGAAUGAUUCUUUAUUCAGUACUGAUUGAUGCUAAUGAUGCUAAUGGUCAGACUACCUUGGGGCCAAAAACCUUGACCUUUGAGCUGAGAUAAUGCUUGAUGAUGCUGUCACUAUAAUGUGGGCUGGAUUUAGACUAACAGACUAUUUUAAAUUUUGACUUCAUAUGGGCUUCAAAGUCAAAAUAAAUCGUUGUUAGAACAUCAGUUUGGUCACGAAUCAUUUCAAGAGUUAAAGCAGUUAUCAUUUCGGGAAGACACCGCAGACCAAUUAACCAGCAAUAAUAGCCAUCUUCAUUGGAUGCCACUGUAUCAUCAAUAUUACAAUGUCCUAAAGGUUCUAUAACUACGGUGGCCCGAAGAGUCAAAUCAUAGCAUUUAUGAAAAAAAAACAACAACUAAAAGUCAAGAGCAGAAAUACAUUAGGCGAAAACACAACGACAUUGCAAAAAUGUUUGUUUGCUUUGUAAAUACUGUUUGAAAAUGCUUAAAAUAAUAUGACUCUCUGGGCCACUAUGUUGAACCAGGCAGCAAGCAGUUUAUGGUCAAAUACAGAAGCUUUGUGGAAGCACUUCAGGCUCAGUUAAAUAUGCAGUAAAACCUAAAAAUAUGGGUGUCAGAUAACUUCUUCCUAAUAAAGCCUAACAAAACAGACAUUUUUGUUCUUGGUUCUAAAAACUUGGUGCUAAACCUUGAUAACCUACAGGCAUUGCAGUCAGUUGUGCGUUCACACAGGUUGCUUGAUGCUGGAGCAGAGGGGAGCUGAUGUCUCAGGAAGCCCUUUUGCACCUGUGCAGCCUUCAGUGUCUCCCAUUUGAGGUCGUCUGUUCUAGCUGUCUGUCGCAGUCUCUGCUGCACUCUGCUGCUCACGUGCAUCUGUCCAGUGCGUUUCCAAACAGAGCUAACUAGCUGUAACUUCUCCUCCUGUCUGUCCUGGCACUGCUGCAAGCCUGACCCUGAAGGAGACUCCGUCCGCUGGACCAGCGUGGCCACCAUUCGGCCGCCAGCAUGCGCCACUGACCCUCCAGCUGUGCCCGAUAUGCUCAUCCGCAUGUGCCGCUGACCCUCCUGAUGAGACUGACAACUGUUACGGGGCGUCAUGGAGACUUUAGUGAAUAACUCAUCACCACCUCCCUGAGAAGUCCUGCUGGAGUGUGUUUAGAUGUUUCUUGUUCAGAUUCAAACUAGAACUCAGUUGUUCUCGCUGAUGAAGCUGAACACUUCUGCCUAAUAAUCAUUCUCACUUGGCUUCUUUGUCUAUUCUUGUAUAAGAACAAUAUAAUAUAA